rnacentral:rRNA from 1 species
UACGUAGGGGGCAAGCGUUGUCCGGAUUUAUUGGGCGUAAAGAGCGUGUAGGCGGCCGUACAGGUCAGCUGUGAAAACUCGAGGCUCAACCUCGAGACGUCGGUUGAAACCGUACGGCUAGAGUCCGGAAGAGGAGAGUGGAAUUCCCGGUGUAGCGGUGAAAUGCGCAGAUAUCGGGAAGAACACCCGUGGCGAAGGCGGCUCUCUGGGACGGUACUGACGCUGAGGAACGAAAGUUAGGGGAGCAAACGGG